CUGAGGCGGGCGGGGCCGGGCGGGGCGGUGCGCGCUGCGGCAGCGCCACCUCGCGGCGGGAGGCGCGGGAGGGGGCGGCCCGGCCGCCAUUUGCAGCGCCGCGGGGGCCGUGAGGGGACGGCGGGCGUUCCGGGCCCGCGCCCCCACACCGGGUCACACUACGGCAUGGGCCCUGCAGUACGACUGCCGUCUUAGGACUUGAUGAAGCCAGCCUUUCCUUCGGGAUAACGAUGUGGAACGGCAGCUCAUCCCGGGCUGCAAGUAGGCGUGCAGGAGGAGCAGGACACCGGAACACACUUGGCUCGAUGGACUGAGGCAGUAUGCGAAUUUAGGAGAAGAUGAGCUUGCUUUCUCUUCCAAUUAUGUAUUUUACACCCUAUAAAGCUUUAGGAACAAAUAAGCAAUCAGCGGGAUAAAAUGACUGCACCAGCAGACAUGGAAGGCUAAGGCAGCAGCUGCUUGGGAGCCACCCGCACCCUUCUCCAGCACAGACAACUUCACAUAAAAGUGCGGAGGAUGCAUCCAUCCCUGAUCCUGGCCAGUAGCGAGCGGUCACCCCAGUGUGACAGGUGAGAGCUGCUAUUGUUCCCCCUCGGGAAAACAAAUCCCACCAUCCCUUCUCACUGAAACGUAGCUGCACAUCUAGGAAAACAUUCAGGCAGGUACACGAGCAAGGUUUGUUGAGACCCACAGACCAAAAUCACAUGCCUUAAUUUACUAGACAUAUGUGAAGUACAUUUUUAAGUUUUUUACAGAUGUUGUACAGCAAAGGGCUUCUGCUCAUGCCUUAGUUAGGAAAAUGAAGUAACAAGGGUUUUAGCUAUAUAACAGGCACCCAAAUUACACUUAAUAUCAACAGCCCUGUAACUACAACUGGAUAGUGUGUUAAGGACACAAUUCUGCAGCUGACUGCUUGGGCAGAGAUUCACAUUCAAGAACAGAUCCUGUGAAGUCCACAUGGUUGUCUAUAGAUAUAGGGCUCUUCCCAUGCAGAAAUGACAGCAGAAUUGAGACCUUAAAAGAUUGGGGCCUCAGAUAGUUUCCUCGUGAGACAGCACUGACCAGUUUACAUUGGCAGGGCAAGCCCCAGCGCAACAGCACACUUAGUUGAAACAACUGCUAUUUUUUCAUGCCUUUCUGCAGUAACUCUCCUCCCUAUCUAUAUAUUCCUUUCACUUCCUUCUGGACUGUGGAGACAAGCAGAUUCCCAAGACCUAAACAAGUACUUGUCUUCAGUAUGAUGCUAAACUGAGGGGAUCCAAAUUGGCCUAAAAUUGUAAACAGUGAGGUGUCAGUUUAAGCAAUCUCAUUCAAGUCAGAUUCUUGCAUUACUCUCCUCUUCCUCUUUUAUUCUUUGCUCUCCUUGCCAAUUAUCUAUGUCUAUGUAUAUAUUUAUCUUCCUCAAAGGACUCCUUCUUCCCUGUAGGUGUCUGAACUUCAAGAAGUUUGUGUUCCAAAAGUGACUCACGACGGAUAGCAGACUAUCAAACUAACAAAUUAUAUCUGUAUGACAAUUUUCAGCAUCAUGAGUUAAAUCACUGUAAUUUCUCAAUUAACAUUAUGUUAGCAUCUCUAUAGAUAUUUAGUUAAGCCUAUUCUUUCUACCUUUCUCUCAGUCUUCAACUGUGAGUUUAGCUAUCUUCACCAUGUUACAGUGGCAGAUAUACACACCAGAGUAAUUAUCUGAAGAUCUAGAAAGCCAGUCCGAGUCUUGUAGUGCUGCAAAGGCAAAACACUAGCACUAACAAAUGAUUUUGCUCUUUAUGGAUUUAGGUGUAUGUUGCCAAAAAUAUGAGAUUUAUGCACUAAGAUAAAUUUACAUUUCUCAUCUUGUGCUUAGCAGCUAAAACUAGAAAGGUGAACAAGAGCCUAUCUGGAUUUCACAAAGGUCCAAGAUACCUUCUCUCUCACUAAAAAUGAAAGCACCUGAUCACAAGGAACAAAUCCCUUCUAUGCUCAGGUGGCCUACAAUACUGAAGCAGCAAUAUUCUCCUCUGUGCAGGUCCAUUAUUUUUAAUAUCUACAAAUUAUUUUUUUUCCAUGUAAGUGGUUUUAUUACAGUAUUCCCAAAGCUGCUGGCCUUCCACUGCACCUCCCAACUUGAAAUGGAUUUGGUACAAUUAGUAGCAGGCCUGCAGAUAAUGCUGAAAGUGAUUUCUAGUUAGAACACCUUGGGCUUUCAAACAGCACAGCAUGGAAAUGGAGAAUUGUCAGAAAAGACAUAAAAUGUUACUACAAAAAGCUGCUUAGCAAAAAACCAAACAACCCAAAAACAUUUCUUCUCCAACACAAGUAGUACACUACUUUUUCACUCUGUCCAUGCAGGACCAAAAAAAAAAAAAAAAAAAAAGCAAGCAGAAUUCAGAUUAUCUGAA